rnacentral:lncRNA from 1 species
AUGGAGUUGGAGCAACUGCAGGAUAAGUUAAGUGAGACCCUUGUGCAGUUGAAAAUGGACCAGCUCCAGGAGGUGUGUUUGUAUGCGAAAGUCCCAACUGAAAAUCAGACCAAAAAACACACGCUGAUCCGUUUAAUAAGUGAAGUUGCUGAUAUUGCUAUUGAAACGGAAGAAGAGGAUGUGGCUUGUGAAUUCCUCAACAGACUGAUAGCAAAAGCAAAAGCAAUGCAAAAAAAUGAGUCGAUGGUGGUUGAUGAGACGGCUGAAAGAGAUGUUGCUGCCCUUGAAAGCCUGCAAAAACAAUAUGCAGCAUUACAGCUAAGUUUUCAAGCCUCCACUAAGAAAUUAGAAGAAGAAAUGGCAAGGUUGGAAAAGAAGGUGAAAAUUCAGGGACCAUAUCAGCUUCCAGCACAAUUUGCAAAUCCCUUUGCAGCUAACACCCCUGAAGUCACUAUAAGAAGAGAGUUCAAAAUUAAUGGCCAAAUUGGAGAAAGGGGCCAGAGAGAUAAACUUUCCUAUUCAAAUCUGAUGCACCAGAUUGAUAUGGGACUUAAAAGAAACCACAGUGAAGAGGAGAUCAUUGAAGCCGUGGUUAGAUCUAUCAGUCCAGGCUUACCUCUUCGUGAUAUGCUAGAAAUUAAAGCAGAUCUCUCCAUUGCUCACUUGCGCACUAUUCUAAGAGGCCAUUACAAAGAAGAUAGCUCCACUGAUCUGUACCAUCGCCUAAUAAACAUUACACAAGAUAGUAGUGAGUCUCCACAAAACUUCCUGUUCCGGGCAAUAGAGUUAAAAGAAAGACUUCUUGCUGCAUCCAGAGAGCCUGGCUCAGAAGAGGACUAUGGCCCAGAACUGAUUCAGAGGAAGUUUCUGAGAGCAGUGGGAACAGGGCUCAUAAGUGAUAAUGUGAAACACCAGCUCAAGAACUUUCUUGAUGAUCCCACAGUAACGGAUAAUGUGCUAAUAGCCAAGACAAAUGAGGCUGCUAGCAUGGAAUGGGAAAGGCAACAGAAGUUCAGGAGGAGCAGCAAAGACCUGAAAGUCAGGGAAGUACGAGCAGAAACACAUCCAGUCCCAAAGACAACAGUUGGAGCUAUUUGGGAACAAGAACAGCCUUCUUCCACUGGGAUGAAAACUAAAGCAAUGAAAACACAGUCAUCUGCCUCUCACACAGAAACUGAGCUUCUGCAGGUUAUCAGAGAACUUAAGGGAAGAAACCAGCUCCUAAAUCUGAUUGGAAAGAAGUGUACCAUUACCUGCCUGCUGGAUGGGGUGGAGACCAAGGCUCUGUGGGAUACUGGAUCACAAGUAUGUCUUAUGAGUGAAAAAUGGAGA